GAUCAUUAUUGAAUAAACCUGAUGAGUUGUUGCUGGUUCUCUAGGGAGCAUUGUGCACACUUGUCAUCUUUAUAUCUCCACCUGUGCACCUUUUGUAGACCUAGAUAUCUCUCCGAUUGCAUUCGGGACUGAGGAUUGACUUUAUUGUCUCUUCCUUACAUUUCUGGGCCUAUGUUUCUUCAUAUACCCCAAUGUAUGUUAUAGAAUGUAAUAAACAGGCCUUUGUUGCCUAUAAACAUAUACAACUUUCAGCAACGGAUCUCUUGGCUCUCGCAUCGAUGAAGAACGCAGCGAAAUGCGAUAAGUAAUGUGAAUUGCAGAAUUCAGUGAAUCAUCGAAUCUUUGAACGCACCUUGCGCUCCUUGGUAUUCCGAGGAGCAUGCCUGUUUGAGUGUCAUUAAUAUAUCAACCUCUUUAGCUUUUGCUUGUCGAGUGUUGGAUGUGGGGGUCUUUUUGCUGGACUUUUCGAGUUCAGCUCCCCUUAAAUGCAUUAGCAGAACAUUUUGUGAACCGUUCAUUGGGUGUGAUAACUAUCUACGCUAUUGACGGGAAGCAGUUCAGCUUCUAAUAGUCCAUUAACUUGGACAAUUUUAAUUUAUUAAUGUGACCUCAAAUCAGGUAGG
rnacentral:rRNA from 1 species